GAUGAACGCUGGCGGCGUGCCUAAUACAUGCAAGUCGAGCGAACAGAUAAGGAGCUUGCUCCUUUGACGUUAGCGGCGGACGGGUGAGUAACACGUGGAUAACCUACCUAUAAGACUGGGAUAACUUCGGGAAACCGGAGCUAAUACCGGAUAACAUAUUGAACCGCAUGGUUCAAUAGUGAAAGGCGGCUUUGCUGUCACUUAUAGAUGGAUCCGCGCCGUAUUAGCUAGUUGGUAAGGUAACGGCUUACCAAGGCAACGAUACGUAGCCGACCUGAGAGGGUGAUCGGCCACACUGGAACUGAGACACGGUCCAGACUCCUACGGGAGGCAGCAGUAGGGAAUCUUCCACAAUGGGCGAAAGCCUGACGGAGCAACGCCGCGUGAGUGAUGAAGGUCUUCGGAUCGUAAAACUCUGUUAUCAGGGAAGAACAAAUGUGUAAGUAACUGUGCACAUCUUGACGGUACCUGAUCAGAAAGCCACGGCUAACUACGUG
rnacentral:rRNA from 1 species